rnacentral:sRNA from 1 species
ACAAUAAGAGGGCGGAGAAAAAUCCGUUCUCACUACGCGGUCAAAGUCUUGGGAGGAUAAGAUCCUGGCGCGGUUAUUCGCAGCCGCCGUGACAUGAACGGAAAUGGAUCGGACGCGUUUUGUUUGCAAGGCUUCGUGCCUUGCAUUUUUUU